UACGUAGGGGGCUAGCGUUGUCCGGAAUCAUUGGGCGUAAAGCGCGUGUAGGCGGUCCGGUAAGUCCGCUGUGAAAGUCGAGGGCUCAACCCUCGAAUGCCGGUGGAUACUGUCGGGCUUGAGUCCGGGAGAGGCGAGUGGAAUUCCUGGUGUAGCGGUGGAAUGCGCAGAUAUCAGGAGGAACACCAAUAGCGAAGGCAGCUCGCUGGGACGGUACUGACGCUAAGGCGCGAAAGCGUGGGGAGCGAACAGG
rnacentral:rRNA from 1 species